CUUCAAGAUCCGACACUCUCUCAGUAGAUCCCGACACCAGAUCUACUGGUUUGACUGUAGGAUCUUCCGUUUGGUUGUGGGUUCGUCAACGAUGGUGCUUGUGGGUGGAAGAUCUGGCCAGAUCUAUGGGUUUCGAACAGUGCGAGGUUAUGGCGUCGGCAGAUGCUGAGCUGGAGCGACUGCUUAAGGAGACAGGGAAACAGUUAUCGCUUCCUCAUGAAUAUGUUGAUGAACUUCUUCAUGUUCUUGAUGUAAGCUCUUACUGUUUUGAGUUUUGAUUAUGUUAAAAAAAGUUUGGUUUUUUAUUCAUAAUUGUUGGUACAGGUUUUUUUAUCUCUAUGGUGUUGGUUUGAGAC